rnacentral:miRNA from 1 species
CCUGUCGUAGGAGAGAUGACGC